UACGUAGGUGGCAAGCGUUGUCCGGAAUUAUUGGGCGUAAAGCGCGCGCAGGCGGUCCUUUAAGUCUGAUGUGAAAGCCCACGGCUCAACCGUGGAGGGUCAUUGGAAACUGGGGGACUUGAGUGCAGGAGAGAAGAGUGGAAUUCCACGUGUAGCGGUGAAAUUCGUAGAUAUCGGGAGGAACACCGGUGGCGAAGGCGGCGACCUGGGACAAUGACUGACACUGAGGUGCGAAA
rnacentral:rRNA from 1 species